rnacentral:tRNA from 1 species
GCCCCCAUAGCUCAGUUGGUUAGAGCGUCCGACUCAUAAUCGGGUGGUCACUGGUUCGAGUCCAGUUGGGGCCACCA